UUAACUUUCCCAACCUAACAAUGCCGCCGAGAGUUCAUCCUUCUGAUUUAUUGACCUUUUAAACCCGCCGGUGCACAGCGCGGGGGCGCAGAGCGGGGAUCCUCCGGCGAGAGAUGUGUUUCUAUUUCAGGUCCAUUACAGAAUGCGGUGUUGGAAGUGGUGCUCCCAGCGUUAUCAGAGCCGACCACAAAUGCCACAUGAAAAGCAGCAAACAUCCGGAGGGUUUCCUGCGAAUCGAGCAGUUUCUCAAGACAAGAGCCCUUUUUUUUUUUUUUUUUUUUUAAAAAAAACCGUGUAUUUAAAGGCAAAACACCCUUUGCCUCUUUAAAGCGGUUCAAAACCACUAAAUGAAAGCAGCCCAGCCCGACAACGCUGCAUAGUGCGAGAAAUCUCCCCGAAUGAAGACUUGUUGGGACUUUGCGUUAGGGAAAGCGUGGGUCAGAGAGGCCCUGGUCGGGAAUGACCCACUCCUGAAUGGCAAAAAAAAAAUUAAAAUAAAAUACAUAAAAAAGAAGAAAAAUGUCCCUUUCAGAAACUCGAUAACUGUCGAAACAACGUUAAGUACUUCACAACAAUUUAACAGUCCCCAACAAUCAAGAACCUACUGGUUCACCUGCGUCAGUUUAACCCGCAAGUCGCUGCCUAGCAGCCGCACCCACACACCCAGGCCCGCAAAAGCUCGCUGCGCGGAGCUGCGCGCAGUCGGAGCGGAGCCGCCCCCGUGGAAAGCGGCACCGCGCCCCGGGUGUGCCGGGUCCGGGCGCGGGGCUAGGGGCACAGCGCUGCUCCGCACGCCCAGCUGCCCGCACCAGCCCUGCGCGGCCUCUUUGGGGUGUGCUAAGCAACGGUGACCCCGCAUUUCAGGACCAAGGGGCGUCCGGCGCGGGGAGAGGGACGCGCGGGGCUCCCGCCCCGAGUGAAGUACAAUGAAGUCUACAAUUUGUCUGCCUGGAAUCCAUUAGUACUCAAUGUUCAGAACACCUUUGACUUCCACCAAGCAGUGAGAAGGGAACUCUACCCCUCAUGGAUCAUGCCUGAUGUGGCUAGCAACUUUAAACAAAAAAGACAACUAAUCUGCAAAACCUCCAAGCUAAAUUGAGCAAUACAGAUACUGAAUCAUAAGACAGCACUGGCUAUACACUAGCCUAUAGGAACUUCACUUCACAGGAGCAAGAAAUUAAUCUGAAAUUGAAACAAGAAGAUAAAGUUAUUCGGUUACCAAAUUACAUACAGGCGUGAGUAUGGAAUCUGGGGAAUCCCUUUGACAGAUGCACAUGGGGUUUAUGUUUAUCUCUCAAGAGAACUCUUACUGUUGAGCACACAAAAUGGUGAAACACUCAAUAGGUAUUUUUUCCACUAAACAGUUAAGUUACAGCACAAUUGAUAGUAUGGUUAGUGACUUUAUGCAUGCGUUUAUAAACCACAGCUUUUUAUGUCAUUAGCUGAGCCUGAAAUUUCAAAUUUCACCUUUCAAAAUUUCCUUAAACAAAAGAAACCACUGCUACUCAUAGGUACCCGCAAGCGGCUAGUAAACAUGCAUUGUCAUUUACUUAUUCAAAGGAAAAAAGUACUCUAAGCUAUUUUUCCCUUUGCUAGAGAUUUUCAAUGAAACAGAAACUUAAGAAAUCUGUAUUUGAAAAUUAGUAGAUUGUGAUAUGUUUUCAGAUGCUGUCCCAAACAGAAGCAGAAGAUUACUUGCACAGCCCUUGCAGAAAUACUUUCCCAGCUUGCUACAUGUGUCCUUGCACAGGUUGAGUUUAUUAGAUUAAAACCAUAGUGGUGAGAAGAGGUAUACAACACUUAUUUAUUCUUAUAGUACUACAAUUAAAACAAUUAAAAACCAGUAGUGUUGCAGCAGUGAGUGGUGAGACAGCUAAAAUGUCACUGCUUACAAAAACUUUAAAUACCAUGUAAUACUAAAGUAUAUAGUUGCCUAAGAUGUAUAAUUAGAUAGGAUUAAAAAACAUUUAUUAUAAAGAUUAGGGACACAGACUGCUGAUUAUUGGCUACUUUUACAAAGCAUAGAUUAUUAUUCAUCUUUUCUCAUAGAAGAAGAGUUUAUAGGUUCACAUAUAUUUAAUGUGAUUUCAUCCACAGAACAGCUAUACGAUACGGUCAUUGUCUAUAUAGGCGUAGGGCAAAAUCUAUCCUGCAAUACUGAAAUAAGAGGUGAGUAGAAAGACAUAGCUGUAUGACAGAAUUUGAUAGCAAAUAUUGUGAAUAAAUUACUUCUUUAGCUCUGUAAAUUUCAGUGAUAUAUCUUAGUUAAAACCUUAAUUAAAUAUAUUUUUACAGAAAGAAUUUAAAUAAUAAUGUGAAUUAAAUACAGUACAUGGCACCAGAAGUAAUUUGGACAUAUCACUAGGAAGAUCACAAGGCAUUCAAGGUUAUAUUUUAAAUUUCUAGCUAGAAUCAUUAAGUCUACAUGAUACAUUCAUUAGGGAAACUUUUUUUUCAAGAACUGAUUAUUACCCACUGCUCUGUUAAAAAUAAUUUAAAAAUGGGUAUCCAGCUUGAAUCUUAGAAGAAGGGUUGUGUGCAAUGUUAAUAGUAUAAAGACAAUUUUCUAGAAAGUUAAUUAAAAAUAAAUUGUAUAAAUUCCACAGCAACAAAUUGUUUAAAAAACAAAGUUCUUAACAUGAAAUGUUUAACCACCUUUUUGGGUAAAUCUAAGAGGAGGAGCUCUGACCAGACUUCCAUGGAAUAACUGCAUGUCUAAACAGAAGAAUGGUCCAGGAAGGAAGAAGCUGAGAACUACCAUUUCGGGAGACUCUGAAGGGUAUAUGACUGAGACAGCACACCAAGAACACAGAAGCCGUUGCAGCUUCACCCCUUUGUCACAAGCUGAACUGAACAUAAUUUUGAACAGCCACUGUAUCAAGAACUAAGGUGAAACAGUGAUGGGAUAUAGCACUCCUUGAGAGUUUCUAUGUGACUGCAACACUAGAUGAUCAAUUAAAAGUCGUGUUUAUCAGGUCUCUACCUACUGCUCUUACCUUGUAAUUGAGUACAUCCUGAAAAAAACUACUUCAUACUUUUUCCAAACCCAGCUUUUGUAUACCAUCUCACUACAAAUGGCACUUAUAUGCAACUUUUCAUCUAAUAAAUGCUUUACAAAGAUAUGUUAACAUCACUAACACUGUUCUGGACCUUUGGGAACUUAGGACAAACAGAUGUUUUAACUAACUUGUCCAAAGUUGCAGGAGAGCAGAAAAAGGUGUUGGAUCAUGUGCCUCUCCUUUUCCCCUCUCCAGUUUUAAGUGCAGUCCCAUGCUGAACCAAAAGAUACUGGUCUCAGACUCUCUUUCCCCCACAUCCCUGCUAAAACUCUGGGGGAAUCAGGGCAUCAUUAGGACUCUUCAGCAGAUUUGCCUUUGGUGGGUGACUAGUCAGGGAUUAGCAACAACAGACUAAUUACGGUCAGUUGUGAGAAGGGCAAAUCAAUGGUCCAAAAGAAAAUGAGUAGUAAGGAACCCAAGCCAAAUUUAAACCUUCACUUCUGUGCAUUCUGUGAACUAUUCUGGAACUGAGCUUAACUCUCCUCUCUUCUAAGCUUAAUUGCCUUUUUCCACAUGGAUCCCAUAAAACUGUGAAGUGGCAAAUCAUUCAGACAGAAAAACAAUGGCUGUAUUUGUAUAUAAAUCAGCACUUAUUGUAUAGUACACAUGACUAUAUAACCAAUACUAGCGCAUCUGAUUUUUUUUCAUUACUUUCACUACAAAAAGUGUGAUGGCAAGCUGAAGUUUGAUUUUAAAUGAGUACCAACUUCUCU